UACGUAGGGGGCAAGCGUUGUCCGGAUUUAUUGGGCGUAAAGAGCGUGUAGGCGGCCACACAGGUCAGCUGUGAAAACUCGAGGCUCAACCUCGAGACGUCGGUUGAAACCGUAUGGCUAGAGUCCGGAAGAGGAGAGUGGAAUUCCCGGUGUAGCGGUGAAAUGCGCAGAUAUCGGGAAGAACACCCGUGGCGAAGGCGGCUCUCUGGGACGGUACUGACGCUAAAGCGCGACAGCAUGGGGAGCAAACGGG
rnacentral:rRNA from 1 species